rnacentral:lncRNA from 1 species
ACUGGCUGGAGGCUCCGCCCACUCUUCUAGCUGCUCCAGCCUGGUACUCUGGCCCCACUCUCUUCUUCAUCUUCCUUCACCUUCUUUUUGACUCUGGAAAGCCUCCCCCAAAGCCCAGGACAAAGAUGACUUUUGGAAGAUUGCCCAAAACGAUAGCUAGAGUGUGCCCUGGGCUCUGGGAGAUGGAGGAGAGAGGCGACAGGAGGAGUCAAUGGUUUGCCCAGUGCUGCGGGGAGGCGCUUUGCACGCUCUAGAUCGCAAGCCAAACGUCUAGUGCCAAGAGCUGUCAGGCAAAAGACUGGUCAGCUGGAGAGACUUCUCGGGACGCGGAGAGGUAGAACAGGUUUGCAGAGCGCUGGCAACCUCGGUUGACACUAAGGAUCUAUUGCCCCGCGCGCGCGCGAUGCGUGAGCUGAAUUGGGAUGGAAGGGCCUGUUGAAGAGCCAGGGAAGCAGCGUUUAGGAGAGAGUUUUCCGAGGCCACGCCGUGACGGUCGACAUUAAUAUUAGUGGAAAGACGCGUGCCCCGCAGUAAGAUCAUGAAAAGGGAUCCAGGAAAUGAAAGAGGAGAGGCAAGAAGAUUUUACAACUUCAAAAGUAUUUAAAACUUAGCCUGCAAAAUAAAAACAUCUUCAUAAAAGUUAUGAAGACCCCGUUCUAAAGUAUACAAGCUAAAGAACUGAUUAUGUACCACAAAAGCUGUGAAGCUGAGAUCUUAAUUUUCUUGGCACUGGGUUGCAGCCCUUGGGUUGAAGAGAGCAAACGGCUGCUGAGGGCCAUGGCCAUGCACAAGGAACAACAAAUGGUCUUAAAACUCAUGGAAUGUUGUCCACUGGUUACCACAGCCACGCUGGAUUUUCCUCGGUAGGGAAUGACCCCGAGGAUCACGUGUCCUGAGGACUUCAUGCUGUAAUGGAGUUCUGCUCUGCUUGCUGCCCUCACAUCACUCUUAAUCUAAGAGAACUCUAAAGAGGCUUGCAGACUCUCACUGGGCAGUAUCUCUGGCACUCACAACAACAUUGCUUGAUUCCUUUCAGGCAUUGCUGCUGGAAGAGAUUCAACUGAUUCAACACCACCCUAGAAAAGAAUCUAGAGACAUAGAUUGUAAGUUAUGACAGCCGCCCUUGGAAAGCAUUUGGAAAAAUAAAAUUGUGAGUGAAGCUAGGUUAAGAUGCUUUUGCUACAGGCUCCCAGUGUAGAAAAUCUUAGGGAACAAUUUGAAGUUCAAAAAGGCACACUUUUAUUUGUUAAGCUAGGGACCUUUUAUGGUCAGGGAAUAAGAACAAUGGCAGCACUGGCUGAUGAUUCACAAUGAGGCUGGACUGAUGAUUUCUUUCUUUCUUCCUUUCUUUCUCUCUCUGUCUUUCUUUCUUUCUUCCUUUCUUUCUUCUUUCUUUCCUUCCUCCCUUCCUUCCUUCCUUCCUCCCUUCUUUCCUUCUUUCUUCUUCUUUCCUUCUUCCUUUCUUUCUUUCUUAAUUUCUUUCUUUCUUUCCAUUUAUUUAUUUAUUUAUUUAUUUAUUACUUAUUCACUUUAUAUCCUUCUCACUUCCCCCUUUCUGGUCACCCUCUCCCACAAUCCUUCCUCCAUCCUCCAUCUCCUUCUCUUCUAGGCAGAUGAGAGUCCCCUUGGCUAUCCCCCCACUCUGAUACUUCAAGUCUCUGCCAGGCUAGGUGCUUCCUUUCCCACCGAGGCCAGACAAAGUAACCCAGCUAGAAGACCAUAUCUCACAUAUAGGCAGCAGCUUUUGGGGUAGCUCCCAUUCCUAUUAUUCAGGAUCCGCAUGAAGACCAAGCUGUCCAUCUGCUAUAUGUGAGCUGGAAGAGCUAGUUCCAGCCAGUGUAUGUUCUUUGGUUGGAAGCUGAGGCUCUUAGAGCCUCAAGGGUCCAGAUUAGUUGACUUUGUUGGUCUUCUUGUGGAGUUCGAUCCCCAUCAGGACCCACAGUCCUUCCUCCUAUUCUUCCAUGAGUCCCCAAGCUCCAUCCACAGUUUGACUUUGUGUGUCUAUAUCUAUCUGAGUCAGCUGCUGGGUGGAGCCUCUCAGAGGACAGCCAUGCUAGACUCCUGUCUGCAAGUAUAACAGAGUAUCAUUAAUAGUGUUAGGGAUUGGUACUUGCCCAUGGAAUGAAUCUCAAGUUGGGUCAGUUAUUGGUAGGCUAUUCCAAAAAUACCUUAUUUUGCUUUCACCUUUUCUGAUAUGAUUUAAUAAGAAUUGCUGGUGAGGAGAUAUGCAUUCUGAGGAUUUAAAGUAGGUCUGGAUGAUUUUUCUAUAAAAACUGAGAUUUCUGUUUCUUUUAAGAUUCUUAUAAGAAAAUAUUUGAUCUUUUCUUUGUAACCGCAAAUCACUGCCUGCCAGUAAGAGAAACUGGCUGAGAAAACUGUCUUGCUUACUUACACUUUGUUAAUCUAUAGCAAGUUGCUUAGUUACAAAUGUAUGUAGGUUCUUAGGAAUAAUUUUUUUUAACCUGUGCUACCUAACGUUAUUUCUUGUAAAGGUGUUGGGGAACACACUGUUUCUUCAUAGUCAUUUCCUGGAAGAAAACUAGAUCAUAAUCACACUGUAAUUUUAUACUGCUUGAAAGGUUUUGCUGGGAUAUAUAUGCCAUACAAUAAGGAAUAAAGUUGUUGGAACAUUGUUCCUUCCAUCCAUCAA